UGAUGCUUUCACCCAGUUUAGAUCUGGCCAGAAACUAAUAUCAGAGUUCAGUCUAUUCACUCAGUUCGGAUCUCGCCAGAAGCUAAUCUCAGAGUUAAAUCUUUUCACUCAGUUCGGAUCUCGUAUAAAAGUUAGCCAAUAAACUGAGACCUCCAAGUUGUUCACAAAGUUAAAAUUGCGUCUGAAGCUGUACAAACAGCUGCGCUCCCCACAUGGAGUUUACAUGCAAACGAUGGAGAUUACACAGCGAAUACGCAACAUCUUGGAUUAGAACGUGUCCAGAUUGUGCAUGGUCCAGUCUCCAUACAACAGGUCACUUCCGUUGCCGCCAAGAUGUGUUUCUUGAAACAACGGUUAAACAAUAUUUCGGGCAUUCAGUGUGAAAUCUGAGCUAACAAUACUAAGACAUUACUGAUAUCUUGCAGGAAAAGACGACUUGGAGCUGAAAGGCAUUCAAGGUGAAAAAGAUAAAGCUAUGUGCCCCCCGACACCUCCAGUUGGUGGAGUCGCUCCCCCGCGUCUCGAUCCCAUAUAACGCCGGGCCAAGCUCACCACCAGCAUCUACUGCACAGCACCUGCACAAUCAACUGUAUCAUGAACUGCAUAGACGUCAGACAUUGUCCCCAGUAUAGCAAGAACUGCACCCAUGACACGUGUGUGUUGACACGUGACAACUGCUUGGACGUGACAGUUCACAUUGUAUGUGUGCAUAUUAAAACAGAUCAUGUUUUGAAUAGGUGCGUGUGAUGAUGGAUAAGUGUCGUGAAGUGACAACAGUGUCAGGCGUCAGCGAACUCGUCAUGACCUUUGACAAAUGAACCCGGAUGUGACAGCAUGAAGGCACCCGAAGCUCAGAGACCUUGAACGUGAUAUGAUUUGACGACGACUGGUCCAGAGCACUGGCUUGGGAAAUCCACACGUUGUUUGUGUAUAGCGACAACAAAGUCAGAAGUCAUUAACUCUCUCCAGGAACUUCUCCAGUGGAGUUGGUUACCUGAUGUGCAGCCACCAGGGCCUCCAAGACAGCAGAGGUGGAUGUUAUAUGAUUUGACGGCAACUAUACAGAUCGGUUAUUCGUCGAGGUUUCUAAGGUACAUAUAUGCACACAUACGCGGCGGCCAUACAGUUUAAAUCGAUGUGCUAUGUUUAUGUUGAGUUGAAAAUGUUAAUUGAAUGUACAAGGAAAGGCGAUCACACAACAGAGGAUAUUACUGAUGUAUUGAACCUGUGUGGAGUUACAACAAAGAGUAUUGCCGAUGUACUACUGUGUGUGUUCAGCUACCACAAAGGAUGUUAUCGAUGUGCUGUAUAUGUGUCGGGUUGCAACUAAGUUUGUUAUCGAUGUACGGUUUGCGUGUCGAGCAACCACAAAGAAUGUUAUCGAUGUACCGUGUGUGUGUCAAGUUGCAACAAAGAAUGUUAACGAUGAACCGUUUGCGUGUCGAGCGACCACAAAGAAUGUUAUCGAUGUACCGUGUGUGUGCAAAGUUGCAACAAAGAAUGUGAUCGAAGUACUGCACGUGUAUCCAGUUUCGAGAAAGUAUAUUGUCGAUGUACUGUGUGUGUGUCAAGUUUCGAGAAAGGAUGUUAUCGAAGUACUGUUCCUGUGUCAGGUUUUGAGAAAGGAUGUUAUCGAAGUUCUGUACGUGUGUCGAGUUUCGAGAAAGGAUGUUGUCGAUGUACUGUAUGUGUGUUGAGUUUCUACAAACUAUGUUAUCAAAGUACUGUAUGUGUGUUGAGUUUUGAGAAAGGAUGUUAUCAAUGUGCUGUAUAUGUGUCAAGUUUCGAGAAAGGAUGUUGUCGAUGCACUGUAUGAGUGUCGAGUAACAACAAAGGAUGUUUUCGAAGUACUAUGUGUGUUGAGUUACAACAAAGGAUGUUUUCAAAGUACUGUAUGUGUGUCGAGUUUAGCAAAAGGAUGUUGUCGAUGUAGUGUAUGUGAGUCGGGUUCCCAGAAAGAUGUUAUCGAUGUACUGUUUGUGUGUCCAGUUACAAGAAAGGUUAUUAUCGAUGUAUAAUGUGUGUAUGUGUGAGUGUGUUUGUGCGUGUAUAAGUGUGUGUGUGUGUGUUUGUGUAUAUAUGAUAUGAUAUUAUAAAAAUAUAUAUAUAAAUAUGUACUUGUUUGUUUGUUUGUUGUUCAGCGCCGCCUACAGCAAAAGACACUAUGCAGAGAACUUCUAGUAACCAAAGACGCGAAGUCGCCUGUUCAGUUCUGGUGCUUGUUUAUAUAUUAUGUAUCUGAAAGUUCAUUAUGAUGUCUAAUAGUUCAAUUCUUCAUAUUUGCUUUAUGGCAGUUUGUGUUGGCGACAACUGUUUUGUUGUUUUUUUCUAAAAGGAAGGGUCGGGUUAACUAUUGGUUGUCGUGUGGACUAUUAGUAGUGUGGACUGUCUGAAACGUAUGGCAGACAGAUACUGCAACAUUCCUGUUCACAUGCACACAUUGUCCCGCGUAGAUGCCGGGAUACACUUGGUCUCCAGCACCCGAUGCGGAUCGUAAGAGGCGACUUGACAGAUCGGUAGUCUGGGUUAAUGGCGUGUCAUACUCCGACGGUGUUGACCGCACCUCGUAAUAUCAAUCACUUGAUUAUUUGGUCCAGACACGAUUAUUUACAGAUCGCCGUCAUAUAUCUGAGUAUAGCUGACUGAUUGAAUGAUUUCACUCGAAAGUAUCCGUGCUCUGAGAUGUUUAGGGGUAUUUGUACUUAGUUUCAUUACAAUUGUUUUCAGGGCUGCAUCCAUUGUGUAUAUAAACUCUGCAAAAAAAACCGCAAAAGUUUUAUAUUUUAUGCAUCAUAUAAAAAUCAACAGAUUGUAAUCGAAUGUUCAAAAUUGGCACACAGUAGAUGUUCAAGGUCAUCUGUUCUACAUAUCGUCUACGCCACCAUUAGAGUCCAAAACUGACCGGCAUCGUCGUCCCAUGGAAGAAAUCAGUUACCGAAUUCUGGCCUGGGGAACUGUUCACCCAUUCUACCUGCAGUGCUUGUGCCAACUGUCGGAUGGCAUGUGGGUGUUGCUGAUGUGCUCGCAGUCGUUGAUCCAGUGCAUCUCAUAAAUGUUCGACUGGGUUUUAUUCUGGAGACCUGGAGGGCCAUCGCAGGAUCUGGAUGGUGUUAUUCCUAUUGAAGGCUGUUGUCAGUCUUGUUGACUACUGUGAGGUCAGGCGUUGUCUUGUUUGAAAAUGACGUGUGGUCGAAGAAUCUCAUCCGUGUUACGCUGUGCCGUUAAGUUCCCAGGAACUUGCACCAAGUCUGUUCUACCAGUGCAGGAGAUGGCUGCCCACAUCGGCACACUUCCACCACCAAAUCUGUCCACUUCCUGUAUGCAGUUUCGUGUAUAACGUUCCCCGUGUAAACACGACGCCUACCAUCCACACGGCGAAGCAUAAAACGUGAUUCGUCACUAAAACAAAUUUGUCUCCAUCGCACCUUGACGUCGCAGUCGACGAUGGAGCUCCGUCAAAAUGACACCCGAACUGGUCAUCUAGCGCGAAUACCUUCAGCGCGUAAACAGUUCCUCAGUCUGGGCUGAUAUCUUACGCAUCCCAACGAUUUUAUUACCAAACGAGUUACGUUGAACGUGCAUGUCAUAUUGGUGUGUUUCGGCACCAGGCUCUCACGUGGUUGCGAUUUUCCAUCUUGUCACCAAAUGUCUGCAGUACCUCAUUCCACACUAGUUUCCACACAAUUCAAUCCCAAUCCAUGAAGAAAUGUACACAUUCAUGUUUGAUAUAAUUUUGUAUGGAUGUCGGCAACACUGUGACAGAAUUUUACGAUUUCUUUUUACAUUUGCGUUUCUUUUUUUGCAGAGUAUAUGAACUGUAUAUUUUUCCUCACUGGAGAAACAAAUGCAAACAGCACACGUUGUAUUCAUAUGUGCAAUGCACAGCUUUUACUGAAUAUUUGUGAUAUGAUCCUCAUAAAACUGUAUCGGUGCGUUUGUU